CAGCAGCCGCGUAAUACGUAGGGUGCAAGCGUUAAUCGGAAUUACUGGGCGUAAAGCGUGCGCAGGCGGUUUGUUAAGACAGAUGUGAAAUCCCCGGGCUCAACCUGGGAACUGCAUUUGUGACUGGCAAGCUAGAGUCUGGCAGAGGGGGGUGGAAUUCCGCGUGUAGCAGUGAAAUGCGUAGAUAUGCGGAGGAACACCGAUGGCGAAGGCAGCCCCCUGGGCCAACACUGACGCUCAUGCACGAAAGCGUGGGGAGCAAACAGGAUUAGAUACCCCUGUAGUCCCUGUCUCUUAUACA
rnacentral:rRNA from 1 species